rnacentral:rRNA from 1 species
UACGAAGGGGGCUAGCGUUGCUCGGAAUCACUGGGCGUAAAGGGUGCGUAGGCGGGUCUUUAAGUCAGAGGGGAAAUCCUGGAGCUCAACUCCAGAACUGCCUUUGAUACUGAGGAUCUUGAGUACGGGAGAGGUGAGUGGAACUGCGAGUGUAGAGGUGAAAUUCGUAGAUAUUCGGAAGAACACCAGUGGCGAAGGCGGCUCACUGGCCCGGUACUGACGCUGAGGUGCGAAAGCGUGGGGAGCAAACAGG